CAGUCGCCGCGGGAAUACGUAGGGUGCAAGCGUUAUCCGGAAUUAUUGGGCGUAAAGAGCUCGUAGGCGGUCUGUCGCGUCUGCUGUGAAAACUGGAGGCUCAACCUCCAGCCUGCAGUGGGUACGGGCAAGCUAGAGUGCGGUAGGGGAGAUUGGAAUUCCUGGUGUAGCGGUGGAAUGCGCAGAUAUCAGGAGGAACACCGAUGGCGAAGGCAGAUCUCUGGGCCGUAACUGACGCUGAGGAGCGAAAGCAUGGGGAGCGAACAGGAUUAGAUACCCCGGUAGUCCCUGUCUCUUAUAC
rnacentral:rRNA from 1 species